UCUGUGGUGGCCUAGCAGUUAGGACGCCUGGUUUUCACCCAGGUGUCCCAGGUUCAACUUCUGAUGUGAAAAACCAGGGAA